UAUGCUUAGGGAGGAGCUUGCGUCACAUUAGUUAGUUGGUGGGGUAAAGGCCUACCAAGACUAUGAUGUGUAGCCGGGCUGAGAGGUUGAACGGCCACAUUGGGACUGAGACACGGCCCAAACUCCUACGGGAGGCAGCAGUAGGGAAUUUUCGGCAAUGGAGGAAACUCUGACCGAGCAACGCCGCGUGAACGAUGAAGUAUUUCGGUACGUAAAGUUCUUUUAUUAGGGAAGAAUAAAUGAUGGAAAAAUCAUUCUGACGGUACCUAAUGAAUAAGCCCCGGCUAACUAUGUGCCAGCAGCCGCGGUAAUACAUAGGGGGCAAGCGUUAUCCGGAAUUAUUGGGCGUAAAGGGUGCGUAGGCGGUUAAAUAAGUUUAUGGUCUAAGUGCAAUGCUCAACAUUGUGAUGCUAUAAAAACUGUUUAGCUAGAGUAAGAUAGAGGCAAGUGGAAUUCCAUGUGUAGUGGUAAAAUGCGUAAAUAUAUGGAGGAACACCAGUAGCGAAGGCGGCUUGCUGGGUCUUUACUGACGCUGAGGCACGAAAGCGUGGGGAGCAAACAGGAUUAGAUACCCUGGUAGUCCACGCCGUAAACGAUGAGUACUAAACGUUGGGUAAAACCAGUGUUGAAGUUAACACAUUAAGUACUCCGCCUGAGUAGUACGUACGCAAGUAUGAAACUUAAAGGAAUUGACGGGACUCCGCACAAGCGGUGGAUCAUGUUGUUUAAUUUGAAGGUACCCGAAAAACCUCACCAGGUCUUGACAUGCUUCUGCAAAGCUGUAGAAACACAGUGGAGGUUAUCAGUUGCACAGGUGGUGCAUGGUUGUCGUCAGCUCGUGUCGUGAGAUGUUGGGUUAAGUCCCGCAACGAGCGCAACCCUUAUUGUUAGUUACCAGCACGUAAUGGUGGGGACUUUAGCAAGACUGCCAGUGAUGAAUUGGAGGAAGGUGGGGACGACGUCAAAUCAUCAUGCCCCUUAUGACCUGGGCUACAAACGUGAUACAAUGGCUGUUACAAAGGGUAGCUGAAGCGCAAGUUUUUGGCGAAUCUCAAAAAAACAGUCUCAGUUCGGAUUGAAGUCUGCAACUCGACUUCAUGAAGUUGGAAUCGCU
rnacentral:rRNA from 1 species